AGAGGUACCUAUGAAGGAUGCCAAAGAAUAUGCAGAAUCUAUAGGUGCAAUUGUUGUUGAAACCAGUGCAAAGAAUGCUGUUAACAUUGAAGAACUCUUUCAAGGAAUAAGUCAGCAAAUUCCACCCUUAGAUCCUCAUGAAAAUGGUAACAAUGGAGCAAUCAAACUUGGAAGGCAGACUUCACAGACGGGUAGGCGGUGCUGCUGACCCAACUUGAUCUUUUGAGAUUUACUUGAAAAACAGCGCCAUUUACUCUUUCAUGGAAAAAGGACUUCAUGAUCUCAGUGACGUGGCUCCUUAUCUUGAAAGCAGUAAUUUCAAUACUUCCCGUGAGUAGUAACACAAGGACCAGAAAGCUUUACUUCAAAUGGAUUUUGUAAAACCUACUUGGAAAAUCCUUUCUAAUAUCUUGUCAAAAUUACAAUGUCCAAGUAUUCUGAUCCUGUUUCAGCUGAUGACUGUCCUUUUUAAAUAAAAAGAACCUUUUAUAUAAAUUCUAGAUUUGCUACCGAAAAAAUCUCUUUUUACAUUACAAAGUGGACUUGGCAUGUUUUUAGAGUUUUCUGUUUUAUAAUACGGUGCGAAAACCCAUAAAACCUGAGUUUUGGCCCAGUUUCUCCGCUGUAUUAGCUGGACUCUGCUUCUGUAUUUUUCUAGAUCUGUAGUUUUGUCUUAUGCUUUCAGUAAAUACCAGCAAGAAUUGAACUGAAUUUGCUGACUAGAAAAAUGAAGCUGAAGGAUGAGCAAGUGCAGUUUGUUCAGGCUGCAAGUCAACAUCUGUGUCAAGAGGAGCUGUGCAUGUGAAAGAAGGAAUUGUCACAAAGGAGGCUGUUGGACCCCACUGCUCUGGAAAGAACUGAAGUAGCAGCAGCUGCACUUUGCUUGAAAUGAUUUCCAAGGCAUACGCUUCAUUAAUUGCUGAAAUUGUUAAAAACACAAAUACCAGCUUAAUCUCUAUUGCUUACUAAGUUUCCUCCCUAUCUUGUGUCCCAGGCUAAAGAUUUCUCAGCUUAACAGUCCCACUUCUGUUUCUAAAAGAAUGCCACGCUGCCCCUGGAGGUCAGGAGGACUCCUUUCCUGGCUUGCUCCAACACAUCCCUGCAAGGCUGUUAGAGAGCAACAGUUCUGUGCAAAAAUGGUUUGGGCUUAAAGGCUGGAACCUAAUAAAGCACGUAGAGUGUUUCCUUACAAGUGCAAUUCUCUUCCUCUAUGGAAUAGUCUCUUCAGCAACAUGGGGAUGCAAUAUGAAGGAACUACUGCAUGAUGCCUUUGAAGCUUAUUUGCAGCACGUGGUAGAAAAAUAAAUCCCAUAGAUGGCUAUGAACUAGAAAUAAUGUAAAACUGUGUUCUUCACCUCCAUCUCUUAUGAAUACAUGUGACUGAUUUUGCUUUUUCAUCAGUUCAAUUGGAAAUCUAAACUAGGGUGUUCUAUUGAUAAUCCAUCGUUGUUCACAUGAGAAUUCAGCAGUCAUCACAGUUGAUGGUUGGUAAGGCUCCUUUAGGGACCAUCCAAGACAUCUCCGCAAGGCUGUUGAAAGAACCACAGUUCCAUUUGAAAAUGAUUUGGGCUUAAAGGCUGGGAUUUAAUAAAGUAAAAUAGAGCAUUUCCUUAUAUCCCGUCCCAAUGCAAGUCCACUUGAGGAGCCCAGACAACUACAGUAUGGCAGGGGAGUUCACUGUGGCCUAAACUAAUAGGAACUGAUCACUAACACAGAUUAAUGCUAUUGAUGGGAUCUGUGGCCCAUCUGUGAAAGGCUAGACCUGGUAGCAAGAAAACAAGGUGAGGUGGAACCCACAUGUUUUAACACAAAAUUUAGCUCAAUGUAUAAUAGUUACGCAUAACUGAUUUUUAACUUUUCAUAGAUCUGUAUGGUAUCUGUCUUCAUAAUGUGAUGUUUAAAAUCUCAUUAAGCCUUACUUGAGAUGGCUGAAGUCUUUGGAAGAUAGUUCUGCAAGUACUUUGUAUGCUCUUAAUUUUGGCUACAACUGGCCUUUUGUGUGGAGCUGAAUGGGACAGAUAUUGUCUUGACCAACCAGUUCUCACAGCUGCCAGUAAGCUACUUGUGAUUCAGAACAGGUUUUUGAGUUACGCCUUUAAAUAGUGUAAAAUUGGAAAUCAUUAUAGUGGAUUUCUGGCAGAUUUUAGAAUUCAAAUGCUAGCAAAGUUGGCUCAAAGCUGUUUUUGCAUUAGGUGGGCCAAAUUUCAAUCACCUUAUUCUUCUUUUACUCACUCGAAUAAGUUUGUAGAAUCUUGGAGUCACAGAAUGGUUUGGGUUGGAAGGGACCUCAAAGCCCACCUCCUGCCAUGAGGAGGGCUGCCACCCACCAGCUCAGCUGCCCAGGACCCAUCCAACCUGGCCUUGAGUGCCUCUUGGGUUAUGGUGAGCUUCAGCAGAGUACUCUGGAGUCUCAUGUGUAAAAACAGCAAGGCACGGUGCUAUGUAGUAGAUUCUGUUUACUUUUAAGAUAGGGCCAGCCUUCAGUGAUGAUGUCGGUUAUCUGCUGUUUGUCAAAGCUGAAGUGCAGCUUUAGCCUGCCUCUUCCACUCUUGUGGAUGAAUGGUUGGCUUAAGAAAUAGUGAUCUUCGCAUGUAAAAUCUUUGCUUUCUUUUGUUGCCUUUGUUGUUUGGAAAGUAAGUACCACCACCUUCAUAAACAGCCAGAGAAACGACAGAGAAGCAAACAAUCUCUGAGUCAAAACUUUCAGCAUCGAUCGUAACUACCUACUGGUUAAUGGCCGGUUGAAAGCUAUAUGACUGUACAGGAGCAUUUAACUCUGUCGCUGCUCUGCUCUCCUGACAGCGAUAAGAACAGUGUGCGGUUCCUCAUCGGCCAGCUGGUGCUGGCUCUGUCGGAGACUGCUUGUCUCAUGCGAGCUGGCAGCAGGACUGGGGUGCACUGUGUUGCCAGGUGUGUUUGAUGGAGUCUGUUUGCACCGUGACUCACAGCUGUGACCCUCCAGCUGCAUGUGACUCGCUUUUCCGGCUUGUCGUGAGCUUGUUUGAAAAAAGUAAUAAAAAAAGGAUGAUGAAGGAACUCGUUUUCAUGUAUGCUCUGCAUAUGAGUGUGUAUGUAAGUACAGUUUUUUAUUGUUACGCUGACAAGUAGUGUAUUUUUUCACUAUGGCUGAGUCUCAUAUACUGAACAUUGUAUUCUGUAAGUACAUUUUUUGUUUAUGGUCAUUUUGCCUUUAUGAAGUUAAAGCUGCAGGCUGAGGGUAGCAAGAAGGUGGAGAUACACAUAGGUACAAUCAUUGACGUGCCAUUCUUAUGCAUGAAAAUGGCAUAUUGUGGAACAGUUGGUCUUGCAGCUGAGAAAUAUAGAAAAGGUCAUUAUUAUUCAAGAUUUGACACUUGGAAAUGUUAAAGUUACACUAAAAAAAAAAACCUGAUUAUUUUUAUUCAUAGUACUGCGGGUCUAUCUGAAGUGCUAAAACAUACCAUGGGUAUAUGUUAAUUACUAGGAAGGUUACCUAUUGUCCCUUGUCUCCUCAGUAAUUUUUCGUGGCACAUGAUGGUGUGCAUUAUUAGAUCGUAACGAGAGCAUUCUCUCUACAGUCAGACUUUUUCAGUGCAGUGAUGAUGUAGUUUACUAUUCUACCCUUAACUAUUUAAGCCAGAGUCAGUGGUAAAUUGUCAGUUUAAAAUCACUUUCCAAGUACUCUUCCUCUGUUUUGUUUAUGUAAGGGCUUUGAUUGGGCUGGACCCACUUGCUUCAUGUAUGGGAUGCUGCAAUCUGUUAAUACUUUACCUCUGUUUUACGUAUUAAUUGUAUCAUACCUAAUAAUAUUUUUGCCCUAAGAUGUACCUUCCGUGUUUUAUUUAACCUACAAUGAUUAACGCUAAUAAAUGUUUUAAAUGCCUCUGAUUUGAGGAUGCCUGGUUUCAAUAAAGCAGAACAAAAGAGG